rnacentral:rRNA from 1 species
GACGUAGGGCGCGAGCGUUGUCCGGAUUUAUUGGGCGUAAAGGGCUCGUAGGCGGCUUGUCGCGUCGUCCGUGAAAACUUGGGGCUCAACCCCAAGCUUGCGGUCGAUACGGGCAGGCUAGAGUUCGGUAGGGGAGACUGGAAUUCCUGGUGUAGCGGUGAAAUGCGCAGAUAUCAGGAGGAACACCGGUGGCGAAGGCGGGUCUCUGGGCCGAUACUGACGCUGAGGAGCGAAAGCGUGGGGAGCGAACAGG